UAAAAAAAACCAUACUUUGAAAAUAUAGCUCGUUCAAAGCAAAUGGUGAGAUAAAUAAAAGUACAUGGAUUAUAAAUCAGAGAUAACAUAUCAUAAUUUAAUAUUUGUGUACAAAGGCAUUGCAAUCAAGCACGAUACUGGUUACUUUAUAUCAUUAAUUAAGUACUGGUUACUUUAUUUUACUAAUGAUCUACUGUCUACAUGAGUCUGCAGAUGGAGCAUGAUCGACAGUUUGUAGUUGAAGCUUCCUUUUUUUCCUUUUCUAUAAAACUGUAGUGUUUUCUUGAAAAGGAGCUCAAAGAAUUCUGCUAAGGGAUUAUCUGAGAUGGGAAUCACAGGGGAACUAGUUAGAAGUGCAUUCUCGAAAAGAUGGUCCGUACGAAUGCGUGAGAACCUUAGGCAGAUACGGCUUCUUUUAGAAGCUCUGAGGCCACUGUUAAUCAACCAUUGGCAGGAGAUUUCAAGGACAAAGCUGAUGCUAAAAGCAAUGUGGUGAAGAAUGGAAGUCCAAACAAAAAGCAAAACUCAACCUACAAACUUUUUCAGCAUGAAGAUGCUGCAAUGAUCAUUCAGUCGGCAUUUAGAAGAUUUCUAGUCAAUACACUCACCAAUAUGUGCAUCAACUUUAUAUGGAGAUUUAUGCUUGAAUAAUCAUUAUAGUAUCGUAAUAUAUGCAAAUGUUUGAUGAUACUUGUACAAGAAAAUGAAUCUGCGCAUAUACUUGGAAAGAAAAUUAAACAAGAACUAAGAGAAUGCUGAUCUCCAUGGAUAAAUGUUGUUUCUUUAAGUGAAGUAUUUCCUGGAUACUCGAUUUGAGUUGUUUGAAUGCUUAAAAUUUCAGGCCCGAUGAGCUAAUGAAAGAAUGAAGUUGCAAGAUUGUAAGGCAGAUCCUGUAGGAAGUCCAAGUAGGGAGUCUAUUGGCACAUCAAUUGAAGUCCAAACUGGAAAUUCCAACAUUUUGUCAUCCCAAGAAGAAAGCAUGGCUGUGCAACAUCCCGCAUGACAUAGAAGUAGACCCCAAGUGUUCAAGCUACAGGAAGACUGGGAUGAUAGCAUGGUAAGUAGUGUCAUAUCAAAAAUGAGAAUUCAAAACAACCUGGAAGCAACAAGAAGGCGCGAGAGAGCUCUGGCUUAUGCUUUUUCACAACAGUUAGGGAUCUGCUCGAAGAAAAAACAAAUCAAAUCCAACAGUAACGAAACCAGCGUGGGCUAGAGUUGGCUAGAACAAUUGAUGGCAACCCGUCUGCUGGAAAAUACCAUGAUGGAAGACCAACUGUACUAGCAAAUUGAGGCAGUUAGUAGUCACCAAACAAUUGGGAUUAGGAAGAGAGUGCUGGAUGUAGCAAAGGAAGAGAAGGAGAGUUGUGGAUCUAAUGAUGUAUCUCUGCACAUUGAAGUCGGAUCUGCAGCUGCGCCCAAGGAUGUCCCAAGGCCUACCAAGAAUAGGAAUAAGACAAUGAGGAAUAUCUCCAAACGAGACGUAGCAUCUAGCUACCUCUAUCCAAGAGACUCAAAGGAUAGCAAGAAAGUAUGUCAAUUAGAGGAUGGAAAACAUAAGGUGAAAAUGCCAAAGUAGGCUCAAAAAGAGAGAUGAAAUACACAAAUUCUACGUCUCAAGAACCACCAGAGAUUGAAUUUUUUUAUUUUUUUUUUCAAUUUAGGACUUCAAAUAUGGCCUUCUUGAGUUUGUUUUAAAUUAAUUGUGUAAAUGUGUAAUGUACUAUGUAGAGUGUAGUGUCAUUGGCAACUUUGAGAUCCCUUGUAUAUUUCAUUUCGCGACUUUCAACAUCUAUAUUGUAGUUAGCAGAAA